GCCUUCGUUGCGUAGAGGUCAGCACACUCGGCGCGUAUUCGAGAGGUCCGUGGUUCGAGUCCCGGUGAAGGCA
rnacentral:tRNA from 1 species